GUGUUCUUCGAAAGGGGAGAUGGUUGGCAUCUCCCCUGACAGGGACGAGAACAGGCUCCGGGCUUUCCUGUUAUCACAUGUACAGUUAAGGCUACCCACUUUGGUGGAUCUUUAACCCAAUUUUUGG